AGUUCUCAACCCGUGGGUUGCCUAAGACCAUCGGAAAACACAUAUUUUUGAUGGUCUUAGGAACUGAGCCAUCAUUUUAUGGUUGGGGGACACCACAACAUGAGGAACUGUAUUAAAGGGUCGCGGCAUUAGGAAGGUUGAAAACCGCUGCUAUAAGGGGAGGAGAA